rnacentral:lncRNA from 1 species
GGAAAUCUAAUACAAAGCUUGUUCCACGUGUUGUAAAUAUAUAAUAACAUAUCAUUAAUUAUUUGGUAUGAUGAAACAUUGUAAAAUAUAUAAUUGUGUUAUAUUCUGAAAACUUUCUAAUAUAAACCUUUGAUCAAUAUUUACCAACUUGGUCCUGGUAAGCAGCUAGUGUAUGAAACAUUGUAAUGCCAUGCUAUGGUUUACAUUUCAGGUAUAUAAAAGAUGUGAACGAGUAGCGUAGGGGACCGAAUAAAUCAAAGAACAUGGAAAGUUUAGCAACUUUGGACUUAAACUUAGAUGACUAUGUUUCAAACUGUUCCCGGGGAAACUGCACGGACUACAGAUUGAUAAACCUUACUGAUGUUGAUCUUAUAAAUUAUAUAGUUCAAAAAUUAGGACACAAAAAGAAGGAUCUGUUUUCAUCUUUUUCGCUGACUUGUAUUUAUGUUGUGAUUUUUGUGACCGGAGUGGUUGGAAAUUUAAGCACCUGCUUCGUUAUCCGCCGAAACAAGUACAUGCACACGACAAUAAACUUAUACUUGUUUAGUCUAGCGAUCGCUGACUUAUUAAUCAUUGUACUAGGUAAGUGAUUUUUUUUUAUAUAUUUUAUUUUGAUUUAUUAGUAUACAUGUAUAUGAAGUACUUAUCCUUUCUAUUUCAUUUAAGUAUGAUGUAAAUACCUUGGAACAGCUUGAUUCUUAUCGCCAAUUUCAUAAGGGUCAUGCUAUCUUUAUCGAGAAAUCGUGUUAUUACUGAAUAGUCAGCUAAAAAAAGUGCAGAUACAAGUAAAAAUAUGUAUGAUUGCAUCUAACUUCAGAGUAGAAGUUUAUUGAUAAACGAAUUAGAGUAUUGGUUAAACAAUUCAGUCCCAUGGCAUAUGUAACAUUCGGCUGUGAUUGCACAGGAAAAGAAAAACGUAUAUUUAAAAAUUGUUUGGGCCUUCCCAUUACCGAAUUCCAAAAGAAAAAGUAAUGCUACCAUAAAUUGUUCCAAUAUUUUAGACACACGUAAGCGUGAUGACAUGCUUUCACAGUGACGUCACAUGGAAUACAUCAGUUUGUAGCACUCACAUGAACAUUUUAGGAAUAGUUUUGCCUAUACAACACAUAGCAUCGCCCAUGUACUUUUUGCCAUCGAAUAGAUGAACACAAAAAUACACCUCUUGCGUCAAUACUCGCAUUUCUCAACAUGCAUGCAGAGUGUAAGGUGGGAAUUAUUAUAGAGCGAUGUGUCAUUAAACGGUUGCAUAAAAAUAGUAAAAUAUACAUAUUUUUACGCUAAUUGAUAUAUGAGUUCACCGUGCUCUUAUGCUAGUCUGUACAAACCUUUGAUCUUAGAGCCGUUUUUAUCUCAAAGCGAAACCCCUAUAUUGAAUAACAAGUCGUUAUGACAUCAUCACAAUUAAAAAAUAAGAAAUAAAUAAAUUUAAAUUUAAAAAAUGAUAAAAGUAAUUGCAUAUUGACAUUGUAUCUAGCUGUUAACCUGUAAAGCAUGAACUUUUAUAAAGUAGUACUAGAGGUAAUUAUAAAAUACAUAGCAGGUUUGGGUAUUUAGGAAGUUACUAACUAUUCGAUAACUUGAUCGAGUAUCAAUAUCAUGUUUGAUCCGUAUGUUAUAUGUGAAAUUAAGUAAAUCUAUACAUUUAAUUGAUGUCGCAAUAUUUAUUGAUACAAUAUAACAUGCACAUAAUUAUAUAAGUAUGGUUUAAAAAUCAAAUAGCCUUUAUAUCGGGAUUUUUAGAUCCUUGAUUGAGUUAUUCGUCACUGUAAACCAACAUUGUUCUUCUGUAUCAUAUACCCUUCAUCUAUGUCACGAGCACCCAAUUAAGAAUUUGCAAGAUUAAUGCAAGAGAAUGGUUUUUAUUAUCAUAUUUUGGUUGACUUUUAAAAAAAGCGAUUUUUUAAGCCUCACCUUUAAACAAAUCUGUUGUCUAUUAAAAAAUGCUAUAUUUGAUAUACAGUUUUAUAAUUUGAAAAAGGGUCACAUUCCUUAUUUGUGGAUCUUAGUUAUUACUAUGUUGUAGAAUCAUGGCUACUCAACACUUAGCAGUAUAUACUACAUUCGUUUUCAAAUAAGUUAUCACGAUGAUUUUGAACGUUCUAUGUAAAAGUCCACAGUCAGAGUAUAAUGCUACGCUUUAUUUAACAGUGUGUUUAAUAUCAAUUUUUCACAUUGUGGAUUGCUUUUGCAAAUUUUGGAGUUCCAGUUUCAAGGAUUUUAGCUAGUAAUGUUGCACAUCGUAUAUUACAACGAGAACUACAGGACAUGUUGGUGUUGUCAGUGAGAGCGUCACUGAUGAGUCUUUUGUAGAAGAAACGCGCGUGUGGCGUAUAUACUAAAUUCAGUCCUGGUAUCUAUGAUGAGUUUAUUUAUGAAUAAACCUAAUUUAUACUGGUUUUUUUAAGGACUUUCAUUCAUUCAUUCAACAUUAGGCGUACACAGUGAUUAAUUUUCGUUUUUUUCUUCGUUAAUGAUACUUUUCCAUGUAAAUCAUGACGUUUGACAACGUCAAAUGAAAAAUUAAUAGCCGUGUUCCAUACAUCGGAUUUGUCUGUGAAUUUAAAUGUUUUUGUAUUUUUUGUUUUCAUAGAAAGAGAUUUCACUUGCAAAGUGCACUGUUAUCAAUUUUGUUUCCCCAAAGCAAUUAGACUUAUAAACACAAGAUGAUUUCCCAUUAUGGUUAAACCUUAAUUGGUUUAAGGAUCUGUUGAGUGUAUAAUAUCAUCACAUUAUUUCGAUAACAAAUUAAAGUAACCAGUCAUGAAGGACGAAUUGCUUUAAGAAUACGUGUCUGUGGAAUUAAUGUGAAUUUAUUUAAUGUGAUUUUAACACUAUAUUUAUAUUGACAACAAUUACUGUUCUAGGUGUCUUAUAUAAAUUAACCGAUAGGGAGCAGGUAUUCCUUAGUAUUAUAGAACUUUAAAUUAUCAUGUUUUAGAUAACAGAUCAUUUGGAAAAAUUGUGUUUACAUUACAAUAUCAAUUAAAUAUUUUGACUAUCGUUAUCAUCAUCAAUAGUAUUAAUAUAUAUACAGAGAUUGAGUCUCUAUGGAAAUAGAGAGACACAUAGAGGCAAAUCACAACCUUCUGGAGCUAGGGUAACGCAUAGGUUUGAACCUUUACUACAUGCUUUUAAAAUUUAGAUUAAGUUUUCAAUAAAAAAACAGGUUCAGAAUGUCAACUCCUUCUCAUAAAAUCAAACAGUUGGGGUAUGAUUAUAAUGAGGCAACUGAUCACUAACGGUCCAAUAAAGUGGAUGUUACAUUUUCAGUAUUAUGUAAUUUUUAUGUUUGGUAUUCUAUUUCUAUAUAAAAUGUUAUGGUGUAUAUGUAAAAAAGGCUACAUAUAUAGAGGUAUUUCCAGGAGAACGUCUCAAGGUAACAAUAUCUAGAAAAACCCGUAGUGAGUACCUUUAUUAAAAAGAAACUGCAUAAGUAAUGAAGCAAGUAAUUGUUUAGCAUCGUCUGAUUUAAAGUACUGUACGACAUUUAUAAAAAGUAAAAUAAAAAAAAUACUGAACUUAGAGGAAAAUCAAUUCAGAAAGUCCAUAAUCACAUGGCAAAAUCAAAUAACAAAACACAUAAAAAAACGAAUGGUCAAGAACUUUCAUAUUCCUGACUUGGUACAGGCAUUUUCAAUUGUAGAAAAUGGUGGAUUAAACCUGGUUUUAUAGCGCUAACCCUAUAAAUAAUAGUAACUACACGAUGUUCUGUAAUCAUUGUUCAAGCAAAACAUACUCAAACUAGAACAAGAAAAAGCCGAACAAGAGUAAAAUUGUCGAAUACUUUUAACACAAACAAAACACCUAUAUUUAAAAUCAAAAGUAUAAGACCAAUGAAGGCCAUGCAUCAAACAUUCCAUCUCAGUUACAUAUUGAGAAAAUCUAGAUUAAACCCUCUCAUGGAAUCUGUUUAAAAAAACGUAACGAUCAUGUGAGAAUAAUAUGACUAUAGCUUCAUGGAAACUCAUUAUUUUCGUAUCAUUCUUUUCUAUUAUGUAAACUAAAGUGCAAAAUUCUUGCUAUCAUCAUCCAUUCCUUGUUUUAAGCAAUAAAAUGCUAUCGAAUAUAUAAUGUGUUAUUGAUGUCUAUAACGACUAACAGUCAUCCAGCAGACAAUGUAAAUUUUGAAGUAUAUAAGUAUGUUUUGUUAAUACCACUGCCUAGCUGGAGCUAUUUUCUCUCUUUAAAAAAAGUAAAACACAAAAUCAUUUCCCUAUCACGAACAUACUAGCAUUAAGAUAAUAACAACAUUCCAAAAGUACAUUUAUAUCUAGUGUCUGUCAGACUGAUCUAAGUCUAUCAUGACAUUAAAUCUUUUUAUUCCCAAUUACAUAUGCAUUAAGACGAACUACCUGAUUAACCCUGCGAACAAAAAUAUGUCUGGUUAACAGACUACAAGUGCAAUCAAGUACAAUUGUUUUUGUGACCUAAUUGGUUCCCAUAAACAACUCGUAAAUAUACUAUUCAGAUAACAUUUGAUUAUUCUUUCCAUGGCGUUUCUAUACAAUAAAUAUGACUAAAUGAAUGUCUUCCAUUUACGACGAAAGGACAAAGUCAAUACAUUGUAAUUAUGUAAUGUUACUCCUGUACUAUGCCGUUAAUUCGUCAGGAUGUAGACAUAUGAGAAAUAUUUAUACUUUUAUAUUAGAGACCGCAAAAACAAUUAAGAAAAAGGUUACAAAUUUAUAGAAUAAUAAGUAGAACGAAAGAAGAACAUGAGUAUAAAAUAGCAGAAGCAUUAUCUUUGCUUCAAAACUCUUCAACGUUUCAAUUCGAGGCUUACUGAUUUUUAUUUUGUUGACAAAAAGCGCGUUAGACGUAAACACGUAUGAGUUUCUUAUAUUAGCUAAUUAUGAACACAAUAAUUUACAGAUGUUUUGCAGUUCAUUAAAUUGUAUUUUAUCUUUUUUACAUUUUUCAACGAUAAUAUCAAUUACAUUGACCUGAUUUACUUUCCCUUUUAAAUACAGUCAAUAAGAAAGAUGACAGGAAUGAAAAGUCAUAGAAACGUAUUUACAGAUUGCAUAGUGCAUCAUAGUUUUCGUUAGAAUUAUUUCCUUCCUAAGAAUAAAAGGAAUUACCGCUAUUUUACGAAAUUUUCCCAUGAUCUUGCUGACUGAUAAUUUCCUUUUUCAGCUCAGAAGAGUGAUAUAAAAAAUUACCGCCAGAAACUAAGGGCACACGAGCCCUUGUCAAUAAAAUUGAAAACGUUGUCAUAUGUAAAUUAGCAAUAAACAAAUUAUCACUGGUCAUCCAGACCAACAAUAAUCUAUAAAUGAACGUGUACACAUUUUUAAGAUAAUACUGGCAUUAGACAACCACUAACGAUGUUAAUCAACUGGAACAGACGCAUGAAUAAGUUGCAGGAUUAAACUGUUAAUUUUGAAAGUCAACGCUACUAUUUUUAAAUCAGAGAAUGCAAAACGCAAAUUGAAGAACAUAAUAUACAACAUACAAUUCAGAAGGGUAACAGAAAAUGUGUCAAAGAGACAACAGCCAGAUCAAAGAGCUGGAAACAACCCAUGGCCACCAAUGAUCAGUACAAAAAGCCUUUUCAAGACAAUACAGAAACAAGAUGAAAAUGGAACAACGAACCUUGUGAAACAAGAAAAUGCGUGUAUUGAGAGUAAACACAAAAAACGUAAACUUUGCUCUAUUCUUAAUACAAAUUUCUUCAAGUUACCUCUGUAUCCCCUCUUAUUCUACCAAUAUAGGAAGUUUUUUGUAUUGAACUAACCUUUUGUUUACGUUAUUCUCGAUGAAAAAUGAAUUAUUAUAAUAUCGUUUAAAGUUGGAGAGAUCGGUCGAACGAAUGUUAAUCAGAAGUGUCCUAUUAAUGUAAAUUUUUAGACAAUUUUGUAAGAUGUCAUAUUCUUAACGGUUACUUAUCCAUGAUAUUAUUCAAACGCGUAACGAGUUUUUGUUCGGCCAGCAUACAUUAAUAUCUUUAACUUCUUUAUUAUAUUUUUCUUUUUUGGGAAGGGGAUGCACAAUAUGAGUUUAUAAACAAACAUGACAUAAAAGGGUACCCAUUCUACUGAUUGUAUUAUAAAUUAAAAUUUGAUUUUCUUAGACCUCUUGUGAAUUGGAAGUGCACUUAAAGUACACAAUAUUUGUUUGUUUUCUCAAUUUGUCAGAUCUUUGAUUGUUUCGUUUCUGUGUUUAAAGUGCAGUAUAUGAUUCAAUAGUUAUCGGUACUUCCGUUUUGUGCAUGAUUAAGUGUCUAAAUGGGUAUUUGAGAUAUAUAUUUAAUCGCACCGGAAAUGAUUUUAUCAAAGUAAAACGACACGAUAUCCAAAUGGACAUAAUCAUUAAUAAAAUAGUCUUGCGUAAUGUAAAAAUCAUUUGGAAUAUUUGUUGGUAUACGAAUAGUAAACUGGGUACAUUGAAAUAUAUGUUAGGGUAGAAAUGCCAUGUCUAUUCAUCGACCAAAUAUGUAUGUUUGAAUACAUAACAAAUUUGUAACUUAAUGUUAAGCCAAAAUGAGUAUUAAAGAGACAACAGCUGUUACAUCCAUAUUCACUGAUUGGACUCAAAUUUGAAUAUCUAAAUUUUAACAUGUUAUGUAUUUCUAAAUUAUUGAAAAUGCAAAUGAAACAAUAAAAGGUGCAUGAACUCGUUAUAAUCUGUCAGUAUUAUGUUUGACUUACACACCAUUUUAUUAGCUAUCAAAGGUGUUACGUUUGAAUUGAAAUUCAUGUGAACAUAAAUAUAAAUUUAAAUAAACCCACUAGCAUAAGUAAUUGUAUACCGACGAUUGUUCUAUUUUGCUUGAUUUUUUUGUAAAACAAAAUAAGAAAAUUAUCUUUCUUUCUUUAUCAGAAUUAUUUUCUGUGUGUCAAAUCAGUCAAAAAUAUGGGUCUUUUUUCUGAUGUCUACAUUGUUUCAUUUUUUCAAUGUUGACUUUCGUUUUUACAUAACUGAACAUGCUUGACACAUGAGUAACCCAUUCCCAACAAAGGAUCGAUUAGAGGGUCGACUGAAUACGUAUUUAAAUGUCUAUACCUCAGCAAUGUAAUUAAGGUUAUUUUGACACAAUUUGAUCACUGACUAUUUAUAUCGUAAUAUCAUGUCUACAAUCCGCUUUUAUAUGAGAGGCGAAAGAUACAAGUGAGACAUUCAAACUAAUAAGUGGAAUUCAAGCUGACAACACAAUGACAAACAAGAAAAGGACCAACAGACAAAAAAGUUACACAAAACACAUAUGUAUGUCUCAUGUCUCUUUAUAAUAGAAAUAGAGGUAAAUAUUCUGUAUCGUAUUUUUAUAGUCAGUAUUUCAAUAUGAAACAAAAUGUGAAUGUUUUAAAAGCAAUUAUUGGCAAUUUCUUCUACGUCACGUUCAGAUAUAUGGCUGAUGUGCUGCCACUCUGUAAGUCACAUUCCAGCAAUUUCAUAUAUCUCAUUUAUCUUAGCGAACUUGACAUACGGGUGUAACCGGAACUUGAUACCAAAACUAUAUUCCUAAAAUUAACAGUGAUAAUAUUUUUCAAACUAUGACAAACAUUUAUGUAUCAAUAUUAAUAUUCAUUACUUCCUAUUUCUGAUUAUUUACCAACCAGGAUUCAGCGUAUUUCAAUUCAUUCGUAACGAGUGUUUAUUUUCACAUUUUUGACACUGAUAAGACGAAAUGCACUGAUAAGACGAAAAUAAACCAUCAGGGAUAUGAAGGAGGACAUUCUAUACUAAUGAAACAAUUAUGAACACAAAUUAUAAGUUUUCAGAUCUUCAAACCGCAGUUAAGUCGUCUAACCUGUAUAUUAUUUUUUAUACCAAUUUUCACACAUGUGAAUACAUUAUACAAGGGAACGCUUUAUUACAACUAUUUAUAAGAAUCACGGUCUAGACCCAAAAUUUCACAAGACUAUAUACAACUAAACCUUAGGGAAAAUUUGUUUUCUGUAAUUCUUCGUCAUAUUACUAAUGCUUAAAAGGUUCUUCACGCAACAUCCAUUAAUUGUUGAGAAAAAUCUUAAAUUCCCAAUUAAAAAGUCAUUGUAGUGAUGGUGACGUCUGUCUUGUUUCGACAAAUGGUUUUUGAUAGCCCCUUGGUAUAUCCGCUUGGGAUAAACGCUCGUUAUGCGAACAUUGAAUACGUAGGAAAUAAAUACAUGUUAUUAACAGCUGUGUCAUCAUGGUCAUGAUAAAAGGAUGCGCUAAUUUCACUUCAAUCCCCUUUACAGUCACUUAUCUAUGUUCAGUUAGACAUACAACCGAAGUAUCAUAAGUAUUUGUUGAAAAUAGUUUAUGUUCUAAAAGUGCAUAAGGCAGUUCCCGACUAAAGGUUUUUGAUUGUCCCCUUGGUGACUGCCUUUCGUUUUAUUUUCAUUACAGGUAUAAACGCUUUUUAUCUUAAAUCUGAAUAAGUAUCAAAUAAAUACACAAAUGAACAACUGCACCAUGAUAAAAGGAUACGCUUAUCCCACUAAUCCGCGCCGCUAAAAUGGUAUGAUUAUAGAUCAUCAAAUAUGAAUACAAAUGAAAAUAUACAUUUGUCAGGACACGCCAAAACUUUCACUAUUUUUAACAUAUGGAAACUCUUUAAUUAUGAAAUAACUAUUUUGAACAAAAUUGAAGGAAGCCUGUGGAAUCAUACCUUUAAACAUUUUGUAAAAAUUUAGCGUGUUAACUGAUAAGUGCUUCAAACUGUCGAAUGAUUAUACAUGCAAGUGAAUGCUCGUGAAUGAUUGACUUAAAAAUCAAUGUUGAAUAAAAGGGGAAAUUAUAUUGGAAAGUUUGGAUAUGACAUUUAUGGAAUAAUGGCAUUUUUGUUUUUUAUACUGACUUUAUCAGAAAGAUAAUUAUUCUUAUACCGGCAAUCUGUCUAAACUCUAUGUUUUUUUUUAAUAUGAAGUAAAAUCAAGUAAUAAGUAAAACUACUUUUACGCGUACAAAACGCUGGGUUUGUUGAUGGUUGUAUCAAUAAAGUCGCUUGCAUUUCAUUGAUAAAUUGAAGCGAAUGAACAAGAACAUGUGACGUUUCAGCACUAAUACAUGACGUCAUUGCCUAAUUUUUGGCAAGUCGUGUCUAUGAUAUUAAAAAUAUUAGGUAGUAAUAUCAAAGGAAAAAUGUCCCAAUUGCCGAUAAAGUCAGUUAUCAUUUGGCAUCUUUUUAAGAUCGACAUAAUAUAUACAUGCAGACACAGCACAAACAUUCACAUACAUUGUUAUUCUUUUUAUUUUGCAUUCAAAAAGUACAUGAUACAUGUACUACUUGAAACAGAAACUGAUUUGUAGUGCAGUAUAUAUUUAGUAAUGCUAGAAGUUCGCUGUCAGAAAUAUGAUGCAUGCAUUGCCGUGCAUUCUAUUAAUAAAGACGAAGUGACAUUUAAUCAGUCAUACAAUUUUCAUAGGUCAUGAAGCGUAUGGAAAAUUGUUUGUUUAAUCUUUUCCUUGCAGCAUUUAAUGAAAGUACUACUGACAUUUUCGUUGGACGUUUCGGCUUUCAUGCAAUUGAUAACUUUCUAUUGGCAUUACAUCAUCCAUUACAUUAUGUCGUUAAUUUUACGAAGAAAUAAUUGUGAACUACAAUUCAUUUUAGUACUAGAACCUAAACACUGUGAAAAACUAAAAUAAUGAUAUCAGUUAUUUUAAUACUUUAAACUAUUUCUUUCUGAAUCUUAACAUAGAAGCGUGGUCAACAAUUACUUAACAAGCAAAAUGUAAUUAAAAACACUCAAAAUAACAGGGUAUAGUUGUGAACUUCAUAAGCUCUGUCGCAGAUAGGUUUUUAUUACUCAUAAUCAAUUAAAGGUUUCUUAUUAUUCUACUCAUGUCAAUUCAUUAUAUUUUCACUAAAAUGUCUGUAGUUUUGGAUUGCAUGCGACAUUAUUUUUUUCAACCCCCUGAAUGUGCGAGCUCUUGUGGUCUCGUAAUUUUUAAAGAUGUUUUGCUACGUUUCUUAUCAUAUUGAUACAUGUUUUUUAUUUACUGAAACAUGUGAAAAACAUAUACUUCGUACUUGAAAAGGUUAUAAAUAAAACUUUUUGUUUGAUUAAGAAUGAAACAACUUUGUAUUGCACUGUUUUUGACAGGAAACAGUAGUUUCCCAAUAUUUAAAUUCACUGUUAGUGUUUUCCACAAAGAAAAUAUGUAUUUGAUUAUAAAUAACUAUCUACAAUGUUUUCCUAAUGUGUUGAACAAAAUGAAAGACACUCUCAGUAAACAUUUUAUCAAGGAAGUAAUGAUAGCGUUGAUUAAUUACCUUAAAUGUAAUAUUUUCAUUCAGUCUCACAACAGUCACUUAUCUUUAUCGCGUGUGACGUAACACUGACGUAGUCAUUAGUAAUCGUUUGCACGUAGCAUAUGUUCUUAAAGUGCAUUGGACAUUUUCUGCAUUUGUUUACUAAUGUACACGCAAACGCUUCUUAAAGAUUAACUGACACUGAUUGUAAAGCUGCAGUGCAAAAUAAUAAUGCUAUUAAGUUUAAUAAAUCGCUUAUUUACGCAUGUCUUUUAGAGUAUAUCAAACCAUAUUACUUUGUGAGUGUGUAAACACAAAUUAGUGGUAAUUAAUACUUUCAACAAUAUUACAACCAUCUUCUUUGAAAGUAUUACAGCGUUAAAUAAAAUAAAACGGAUAGUUUGACUUUCGUUUUAUUAAUUUGUAGUGUUUUUCAAUUUCACACUUAAAGUUCGUUUUUUUUUUUUUUUUGGCUGCGUUACAUGUAUAUAUGCCUUUAUCGAAAUCGUAUACAAAACAUAAGUAGUAUUUAUAGAAUGUCUUGAAGCUGUCGAUAACGUACGACUCAUCGAUAAAUCUCGAUUCAAAAAAUAAAUAAAAUAUGACGUUGAAGAGCAUUCAAGGUAACCUAUUGAUUGGGAUUACCCAAAUAUUUUCUCGAUGUUAAUCAUUUACUGUCGCUGAUAAAUUUUAUCAAGUUUCUUCAACUAAAUAAUUCAUUCGUAUUCAACUUUUAAAAUUUCAAUCUAUAUGCACAGUGCCUGCAUAAUUUCACUACAUAAAUUUGUUUCGUGACAUAAAAUAAAGUUUAACUAUUAUGAAACUAAAAUUUAACAGUUAAUUUAUAAGUAUAACCAUACCAAUGAUAAUUGAUUUCAACACAUAAGUGCUGACUACUGGGCUGAUGAUACCUUCGAGGAAUAAAAACUCCACCAGCAGUGGCAUUGACCCAAUGGUUGCGAUUAACUAGUGGUGAGUUGUCUCAUUGGUAAUCAUACCACAUCUUCUUUUUUAUAUCAACUCUUUAUUCAAGCGUAUAAUUAUGCACCGUCUAAUUUUAUCAGGAACGGAUUUUCAAAAUAUUCUUAAUUAGGGCUAUGACUUUCAGUUCACUGAACAUGGGAAUUUGAUAGUAUGAGUUGAACAUGGUGUCCUAAGGAAAUUCGUUCUGCUAUUUGUUAGAACAAACGGCAACAGAAGUUUACUGGUAUUUGAAAACACAAAUUUAUACAAGGAACUUACUUUAAGAAAUGACAACUGAAAACAAGAUAUUGCUGUUAUAAACUUAUGAAAUUUCAACAAAACUCGCAAGAACUCUACACAAGGAAGCGAUAACAAGAUCGGACCAACCGAUGGACGAACGCCUGGUAUGUCCAUGCCUCCUUGCAUAGCGUUGGAACAAAAAUACGAUAGCCACCACAGAACAGGGACAUCAUAGUUGAUUCCUUAAACACUGUAUGCAUGUUUACGAAUCACUGUAAAAAGUAUAAUCACAAAAAUACUGAACUCCGAGGAAAAUUCCAAAAGGAAAGUACCUUAUCAAAAUCACAUCAAUUUGAGGGUUUCGUAUCUUAGAAAUAUAUAUAUAGGCGAUGUGGUAAAAUAUACAGCAGACACUUUUUCAUUCAUUUCGUACUUCAAUAUUGAGUUAGUUGUUGAUAGUUUUCAAAGGUACCAGGCUUAUAAUUUAAUACGUCAGGCGCGCGUUAGUCUACAUAGGACUCUUCGGUGACGCUCAGAUUGUUACAUGAGGGCAUUUAUUGGGCUCUAAGUACUGAAUUGUCAUUUUGAGUUGAUGUUAAAACCACAGACUUUAACACUUGUUUCAAAUGUAUGGUAAUCGGUGCUGUAAAAUAGAUCUAAUGAUAUUUCAUGAAAAAUAAUUAAUUAUAGAUUUAAUAAAUAAAUGUGUGUACUCCUGACGCUUGUUUCGUCGAAAAACAGAUACGGGUAUAGUCAUAUCAUCAUACUUUAAAGGAAAAUAUUGAAUAUAAAGUUGUUAGUAUUUCAUCGAAACUCUUUUUCUGACAAUAUUGUCUUCAAUAUAGAAAAUCUUUAUUAUUGCGUUUUUCAAAGGCACGACAACAAAGUGAGAUCGAGAAUUGCGAUUUCAAGAAAUUCUGCAUUUAGUUAUAUGUAUCUGAUAUCACAAAGCGAGUUCUUAUUACUCAAUGAGUCGCCUUUUCAAUAAUAAAACCUGCGAAAUACUUUUCGUUACUCAAUGAUACGGAAUGGUUGUAAAGGGCAAACAUUCCAAGUGAUUAUUCGACAUUUCUGUGUGAACUUUUCGUACGGGAAUUAGAUAGAUGCAUGAUGCAUACAAAUCAUAAUGUAAACUGUCUUUAACAAUUAACUCUAUUACGUUGUACAAUUGAUUUAUCUGUAAACAAAAUAAUGAAGGUCAUCACGAACCCAGUGUGCAAAAUAACAUUUACAUAGAAAACAUCACACUAAAAUAUUGUAAAAUAGCUGUAAUGGUCUGAUCAUUUGAUUGCUUCAUUUUUGCCUUUUCCAUCUCAUAGAUUUAGUCCAAAAUCCCGCCCCAUUUACAUUAAGGUAGAACUAUAUAUUCUUAGAUGUUUGGUUUGUUAAAGCUUUAUAUUUUGCCAUUUGAUUAUGGAUUUCCCGUUUUGAAUUUUCAUCAGAGAUGGUAUUUUAGUUAUUUUACCCUUUUCUACAUCAAACAUCAAACAAUUAACAAACAAAAUAGAGAUUUAAUUUAAUCUUUUUCCAAUCGACUACAAUUUAAAAAACAAAUAAAACAAUGCGAGAAAAUAUAUACAUAUUUAAAUAUACAUUAGACUAAAGCAUUUAGCAUUGUUUCAAUGUUUGAAUUGUUACAAUGGUAGCCAUUUAAUUGUGAAAGUUCUUUAAGAUUGUAUGAUAGAAAAGAUAUGUAAAGUAUCUGCAAAAGAAAGAAAAAGACGUUAGGAAACGCAAACGUUAAUAUAGAUGAAAGAAGAUGUGGUAUGAGUGUCAAUAAGACAACUCUACAUCAUAGUCACAAUUUGUAAAGAAAUCCAUUAUUAGUAAAAGUACGGCCAUCAACACGGAGACUUUGCUUACACCUAACAACACGUUAUUUAGGGCCAAAAAUUACUACAUUUUAAAACCAUUCAAACAGGAAAACCAAUGGUAUAGUCUUUAUAUAAAACGUGAAACGAGAAACACUUAUGAACCACAUGAACAAAUGACAACCACUGAACAUCAGUUACAUGACUAAGGACAGGUUCAAACAAAUGCAGCGGGUUUAAACGUUUUAAUAGGCAACAACCUUCACCCUAACUUGAAACAUCACAACAUAGAAAUAUGCACUAUAAAACAUCAGUUGAAAUGGCUUAACUCAAUUAAAAAAACAUACUAACAAAAACAAGCAGACAUACACGAACGACAUGAACGAAUAAAUGUGAUAUAUUACACAAUCUCAAUACAAAAUUGUACAACGACAUAUAUUCAUUUAAAAUGCUUUGACCGUAGACUUUUAAUUGUACAUUGUCGAAUAGUCUUUUUGCCAAUUCCAUAAUAUAACAAUUUCAUUCUGUCAUCUCAGACAUUCAAAACAGGAGUCGAUUUUACAAAAUAACUUUGACUUAGAGUGAUCGUAAGUCAUGAACAUUUUUGUUUCCCAUUGCAAAUUUUUGAAUGGUUCUAUAUAGUUAUCAAAGGUACCAGGUUUAUAAUUUGAUACGUCCGAUGCACGUUUCUGCAUAUAUUUAAGACUCAGCACUGACGCUUCAAUCAAAAUAGUAAGAAAGGCAGACAAGUACAAAGUUGAAGAGCAUUGAGGACCAACAAUUCCAAAAAGCUGUUCCAAAUGCAUCUAAGGUAAUCGUUGCCUGGGAUAAGAAAAUCCAUCUAUACCGGAUAAAAUUUAUUGCUGCCUUUUCAAAGAACGAUAAUUUGAAAGUGAUAUAUAGACAUUAUAAACCCUUUAUCCAAUUUAUGAUAAUAUAGAAUUGAAAAUAUAAUAAAAUUUUAACUUAACAAUUAUUUCAAAAAAUAAAACGGAAAAAUCACUGAUAAAUCAGUUUUUUCCGUUAGUCAUUCAGUGUCAAUGAAAAUUGAAGUUAGUCCUAAAUGAAGCUUAAACGGAUCUCUAAUUACUGGAUCAAGUACGGAGUUUGCUAAGAGGUUAUUGCAUCAAUUUUAAUGUUUUAGUAAAGUUGAAUCAAAUUAACUUAAUUUUGUUUGUGUAAAACCUUGCAUAUUUAAGGGUUCUUACCCAAAAUGAAGACAUAAAAAGAAUUUCAAGACGGAACUUAUACUGGUAAAAUUCUAUAUAUUAAAUCAAAAUCAUGCACUGAGCCUUUUGUUUUACAAAAUUACCUUGUUAGAUGAACAUGUAUGUUGUUUCAUGUAUAUAAAGUGAAAAACAAUAAGAAUUUUGUGUCUUUUUUAUUACAAUUGGUAUGUUGAAUGUUUAAUACUUUGUGUCUUUUUCUAGUUCAUAUUUUGAAAUUCGUAAACAAGAAACAAGGGUAGUUGGUACAAAGCUUAUAUCUAUAUUUAUUAUGACUUUAAUUGUUGUGCGGCUCCUUCCUGCUGAACAAUAAAGACAUUUUAAAAUGUUCAAUAAAGCGAUAAGCUCCUUAUGAACCUUUAAAUUGAAUUCAAAAUUACAAAAAAAGAAAAUGAAGAAAGAAGGAAGCUAUAAUGAUUAUAUCAUUGUUUCCUUAUAUGUAAGUUACAAAAACAUAAAUUGAAGAAAGACGGAAGCUAGAAUGAUUAUAUAAUUGUUUUUUUUUUAUAUUAGUUACCAAACAAAAAGGAAAAAAGAAGGAAGCCAGAACGAUUAUAUAAUUGUUUUAUAUAGAUAUCUUAACUUUAGUCAAUCACAAUGAUCAACUCAUCUUCACAGAUGUGUAUCACAAACAUCAUUAAGGCAUUAUGCAUCUUCAACUUCCUUAUUUUGUUGAACAAAUCUGUUACAGACAACGAUAUAUGACAUGCAAUGAGAUACUCGAACUUAGAGACACUGAUGAGAAGUACGCCAAGAUAACGUUAUUGCAAGUUCAGUGUCUUAUGACCACACUCACCUAGUUUUUAUUUCCUAACUUGACGCUCUCCCUUCAUGAGACAUAUAAUUGAACGUGACUUCGUAUUAAGAUUUCUCGAAUACACAAACGGACGCCCUUGCAUCACGGGUGUCAUUCCAAGAGAGAAGAUUUAAUGUUUGAUAUUGUGCACCAAAGAAAAGGUGUUAUGAUUGCCAAUGAAACACAUUAUCAGAAGAGACCAAAUGACACACACAUUACCAAUUAUAGGUCCCCGUGCAGCCUUCAUCAAUGAGCAAUGUCCAAACGGUAUAAUCAACACCAGUUCUAUUCUAAGAUAAGACCAGCUUACAUAUAUAUUUAAAAGUUAUUCAUAAAAGAAUCGUUUUUACAUGAAUUACGUAUAUUUUCUUGGUAUAAAGUACUAUAUAAGAUAAGAAAUUAAAAUGAUUAUGACAGAGAAAUAUAGAUUUGUUAAACAAUUGUAUAACUUACUUCUAAACUGACUGCCGAACUGUCAUUGAUAGACAGCUCAAUUAUUACCAGAAAGUUUUGAUUUUCUGUGAAAUCAUAUAUUCUUUGACCAAAGUGCAUUAUAUUCGGCAAAGUAAAUUGCCUAAAACCUGUAGGAGUUUCUAUUUUGAGUUAAUAUGUUUAUUUUCCAUAACUAUAAGACGUUUUGUCGUCAUGAAAUCGUUUGAACAAUAUGAACUAUAUACAUUGGUUAAUUCAAAAAUAUAGGAUUGAUUAUGUAAGCUUUUUACAUUUCAAAUCAUAUUUGCGAUUUUAACAAUAAGUUCAUGUUGUUAAUCAAGUAAUUUUCCAAAUUUAAAGUAAAUUGGUUAAUGUUCAGUAUCAAAAAUAAGUACUGCACUAAUGAAAUGAACCAAAAAAAAAGAGAAUAGCUGAAUCUCAGUUUAAUACACAUAUGAUAAUAACCAACAAUUCAAAUAAUACGAAGCCAUUGUUAUUUGAACUGUGAGUAUCAGGGCUUUGUCGUAAGAGUAAAUAUUGUAACGUUGGAGAGACAACUAUUAUUUUUUGUCUAAAUAAAACUACUUUUAACAGACAGGCGAAAGAUCCCUAGGGUACAGUCAAACAGUUGAUAAUUAACUGCCUUCAUUCUCUAUAUAAAACUGUCUGCAUUCUGCUUAGAUUUACAAGUAUACUCAAUCAUACAAUUGGAAAUGAUCACUUAUCAGAUCUAGAGUAGUCAAGAAUACAUGGGAGUUUUUUUCUCCUUUGCUUUAUCCCUGACAGAUGAGACUGUAAAAAUCGGAGAACUUUGGUUGCUGUAAUAGGUGAUUAUUAAUAAAAUAUGUUUAUAAAUUUAAAAAAAAAAUAUAUUGAAGCCUUAACACUAAUAUGUCGAGAAAUGACAUUUUCUGCUAAAACCUAGUAAAACUUGUUAUUAAAACUGGUGCGUCCUGAAUAAAUUUUGCAUAUUAUCUACAUCGUUAUAAUUCAUUUUAAAGACAUAUAUUAGAUAAUUGAACUGUUGCUAUCGAUUGAAGACAACUAAAUGCAGGUUUUUCAGUGCUUUCUGAUUACACUCAUACGUCUUUUCUGAUUUUAAGAUUUAAACCAAAUCGCUUUAAUAAUUUCUUUCUCGACAGUAAGUUCUUUGUAAACCUUCGAUUUUCCGAACGCUGUGACCCAAGGACAACUUGACACUAUAGAAAUAUCGUUAUUAAAUGAUUUUUUAAUUUUUUUUUAUAUUCGAUAAGCAUUUAACCUAAUUUAAAACGAUGUUUGAUAUACAGCGAAUCUCAUAAGGAGAUUUACUCUAGAAAACAAAACUUCCACGUUUAUUUUCUAUAAGCCUUUUUAAAAUUUAAAAUUACAUGUCCUAUCAAUAAUAAAUAUAUAAUAUUGAGAAUUGAAAUGGGGAAUGUGUCAAAGAGACUACAAUCCGACCAAUGAGCUAAAUAAAGGCAACAGUAGUAUACCGCUGUUCAAAAUUCAUAAAUCGAUAGAAAAAAAACAAAUCCUGGUUACAAACUAAAACUGAGGGAAACAGGUGAACGCCACCAAUGGGUCCUCAACACAGCUAGGCGUGCUUCAGCUGGUCCCUAAACAAAAAUGUGUUAUGUGAUCUAGUUCAGUUAUAAUGGACGUCAUAUUAAACUAAAUAUUAUGAAACAUAUAAAUAAACUGAAAUCUAAAAUCUUACAAGACUAAAAAAGGCCAGAAUCCUGACCUUAGACAGACGACGGCAAAAUUUGGCAUGUUUUUUGACGUGAUCCACACGUAGAAUGAGUUUACAUUGCAGGCACUUUACAAAAACAUGUGCAUAAUUUUAUCAAAUGAAGAAAUACUGAACCUUAACAUGUUAAGUCAUACUGCCAAAUCAUAGUACAUAAUUAACAUGUGCAUAAUUUUUGGUCUUUGGUCGGGUUGUUUUCUUUUUGACACAUUCCCUAUGUCCAUUCUCAAUUUGAUGACAAGAUCUAAAAUACAUAUAUAAUAGGUAAUUGUAAGAUGAGUUCAAAUGAGACAAUAAACCAGGCAAACAAAUGUUCGCUGUUAACAAGCUUUAUAGCCAUGACACCUGUCGUUUAAAAAAAAAAACAUUUAAUAGAAACCGCAAAUAAAAAAGAACGGCGUUUUGGGCAUUAACGAUAUAUUUUUAUGACUCAAAACUUUUCUUCUUCAAGAGAAUACAGGGUUAUUUUUCUAUAAUUCUCAAAAUCAAGAAAUUACAUUUUUUUAACUGUUUUGUCGUAUGAAAAACCGGACGUAACGUACUAUGAUUUGGCGGUAUCACACGUAAAUCCACAUUAUGUUUACCUAGAGCCUAGCUUGUUUUAUAUCUUAAUAGUUAAUUUCUCUCUGUAAUGAAGCCUUAGGUUGUUUUUUGGUCUUUGGUCGGGUUGUUUUCUUUUUGACACAUUCCCUAUGUCCAUUCUCAAUUUGAUGACAAGAUCUAAAAUACAUAUAUAAUAGGUAAUUGUAAGAUGAGUUCAAAUGAGACAAUAAACCAGGCAAACAAAUGUUCGCUGUUAACAAGCUUUAUAGCCAUGACACCUGUCGUUAAAAAAAAAACAUUUAAUAGAAAUCGCAAAUAAAAAGAACGGCGUUUUGGGCAUUAACGAUAUAUUUUUAUGACUCAAAACUUUUCUUCUUCAAGAGAAUACAGGGUUAUUUUUCUAUAAUUAUCAAAAUCAAGAAAUUACAUUUUUUUAACUGUUUUUGUCGUAUGAAAAACCGGACGUAACGUACUAUGAUUUGGCAGUAUCACACGUAAAUCCACAUUAUGUUUACCUAGAGCCUAGCUUGUUUUAUAUCUUAAUAGUUAAUUUCUCUCUGUAGUGAAGCCUUAGGCCCCUAUGUCCAUUCUCAAUUUGAUGACAAGAUCUAAAAUACAUAUAUAAUAGGUAAUUGUAAGAUGAGUUCAAAUGAGACAACUACAUGUAUCCAUCAAAUGACGAAGAUGUAAACAAAUAUAUAUCACCGUAAAACCUUCAGUAAUGCGCUAAAUGAAAACCGCAAAGUAGGCAACAAAAGGCCCCAUCACGAAAAACUAAAACAAUUCAAACAAGAAAAUAUUACGAAAAAACAAACAAAAACAAAUAUGAUAUAGAAUAUUAAACGUCAACUGAUAAAUAACAUGUUCUUGAUUUAGAACAUGCAAAUACACAAUGUUGAGUUUUUGAAAUGUUUGUGGGCGCCCAGCCAUACUGUUAGCAGGAAAGUAUGAUAUUGUAAAUACUGAUUGUUAUAGUUCAUUGUUACAUUUUUUAAAGGUUUGACUUAUUUGAUAGAUACAAAGAUUAAAAUCAAGUGAGAUGUUAUUAUAUCUUUUCGUCAAUGGUCUGUUAUCAAUGAACUGUUAAAAAUUCAUCUCCUCUAUUUCCAUUGUGGCCAAAUAUUAUAAUGAGUGAAAAGUAAAAUCACAAAAACUAGACUCAUUAAAGCCUCUUGAUUUUUUAUAUGGUCAUAUGUGCUAAGUGUUUAACGCAUACAAUCAGUCUUCAUGUCAAACUGAUAUAUCUUGUUGGAAAUGACGAUUUCAUUUGUGUUCAAAUAUAGACUUCAGAGUACUUAAAACAUUGCAAUAUUGUCAAGCAGAACAAUAAUGACACAAUCAUUGAAGAUUAUAGUCAGAUUUGUCACUGUAUGUUAAAUAACAUUUCUUAUACACAUUGUGAGAAAUGACAACUCUUAAAACAACAAACUAGACAGUAAACGAUUGCCAAAAUGGAAAUGUGUUCAGAUUGAAAAAUGAAUAAAAAUAUAUACGUGUACAAUCAUAAUGUAAAAAUGGUUUUUAUCCAUUCCUCCAGCAAUGAGUAAAUAAUAGUAAAGAUAUAUUUUAUUUAGUAAAGGGAUUUUCUUUUUACAAAAGUAUGCAUUUUAACAUUAAAAUAUAAACACAAUAGGAAUUUCCUUUCUUUUAUAUAACUACUGUAUGGCAGUAGGAAGAGCAACUUAAAGAAACAGAUACCUCUGGAAGUUAACGAAAGCAAACAGACAUGUAACCAUGCACAAGUUGUUGGAACUAAAUUAGUAUCUAGCUAACAUGAAAUCUUUACAUUUACAGUUCGUCAUUAUGUUCAACAAGUGAUACUUCAAAGGGAAAGCAACAAUAAAAUAGAUAUUGAGUAAUUUACAAAUUAUCAAAACAUAAGUCUAUAAGUAUAUCAGAAUAAUGAAACUCGCUUUUCAUGUAAUAUAUUUGCAUAAAAGCUAAGAUAAAGUUUAAAAGUGUCUGAGAGUUAUUUGAAAUUUAGUAAUGGCUAAUUAUCUAAAAAAAAAUAUGAGUGAUAUCUUUCUAUAAAGGCAACAGUAGUAUAACGUUGUUCGAAACUCAUAAAUCGAUAGAGAAAAAAAUCCGGGCCACAAACUAAAACAGAGGGAAACGCAUUAAAUAUAAGAGGAGAACAACGACACAACAUUUAAAAUGUAACACAAACAGACACGAACUAAACAUUAAACAAAACCCGAUGAGAAUAACAAAUAUAACAUCAAAACUAAAUACAUGAAUUUUGGGAUAGAAAAGUACCAUGAAACGUCUUAUAUUAAUGUGAAUUCACACUCAAAUAUAAGAGGAAACAAACAACACAACAGAAACCAAACGAUAAAAUGUAACACACACAGAAACGAACUAUAAUAUAACAAUGGCCAUGUUCCUGACUUGGUACAGGACAUUUUUUAAAAAUGAUGGGUUAAACCUGGUUUUGUGGCAUGUCAAACCUCCCGCUUUAAUGGCAAUGUUAAAUAUAACAUUAAAAUGACAACAUAAUAUUACAGGACUACAAUACAAAAAAAUAGAACAUAUUGGACAAAGAAACACACGAAUAAUAGCUAACAAAAGGCUCCAGGUUUAAGAUUUGAUACGCCAGAAGUGCGUUACGUCCACACAUAAAUAGGUUUCAUGAUGGUAUAUUCUACUUUACAAUUACUAUGCAUAAUAAUCAUCGCCCUCGUUCAAUUAAAUGCAUCGCUUACCAGUGUUUAAAAUAAUUCAACUUAACCGAAAUUGUAAAUCGAUUCAACGAUUUCUUUUAAAAAAUAAAAUUCUGAAAUGAUCAGUUUGACCUUUUUUGUAUUCUUUCAAUUGUAAUGUAAAGCAACUACCCUAGUUUCUGCCAUAAUUAUUAUCGAUGUCAGGUGCACAAACAAAUCAACAGAAUUGAAGAUGUCAAUCAACUCUGUAUAGAAGUUAUUACCUUUCAAUUAGCAUUUAUCGUGUUUUUUAAAGUGUUAUGACAAUUUUCCUCAGACCUUUAACAGACAAAAAAAAACUAUGACAAUUUUAAUGGUCAGCAAGAUAAGAUUUAUCAAUAAUUAAAAGUAACUAAUUGAGUUUGAAUAAAAAAUGGUCAAACUUCGUGUUUGGAGGGUCUUCUUGCUAAUAAUUGUAUUGUCACAUAUAUUUUCAAGGUGGCAGAUUCAUGCUCCUUGGAGACUCAAGUUAUUAAAAAA